rnacentral:rRNA from 1 species
GGUGGUGCAUGGCCGUUCUUAGUUGGUGGAGCGAUUUGUCUGGUUCAUUCCGAUAACGAACGAGACUCUGGCAUGCUAACUAGUUACGCGACCCCCGAGCGGUCGGCGUCCCCCAACUUCUUAGAGGGACAAGUGGCGUUCAGCCACCCGAGAUUGAGCAAUAACAGGUCUGUGAUGCCCUUAGAUGUCCGGGGCUGCACGCGCGCUACACUGACUGGCUCAGCGUGUGCCUACCCUACGCCGGCAGGCGCGGGUAACCCGUUGAACCCCAUUCGUGAUGGGGAUCGGGGAUUGCAAUUAUUCCCCAUGAACGAGGAAUUCCCAGUAAGUGCGGGUCAUAAGCUUGCGUUGAUUAAGUCCCUGCCCUUUGUACACACCGCCCG